rnacentral:rRNA from 1 species
ACGCUGGCGGCACGCCUUAUACAUGCAAGUCGAACGAAGUAGCAAUACUUAGUGGCAGACGGGUGAGUAACAUGUGGGUAUCUUCCCUUUGGUGAGGAAUAACACGAGGAAACUUGUGCUAAUACCUCAUAAGUCUUUACGGAGAAAGCUUUAUGCGCCAAUGGAUGAGCCCGCACUUGAUUAGUUUGUUGGUGGGGUAAUGGCCUACCAAGACUUUGAUCAAUAGCUGAUCUGAGAGGAUGAUCAGCCACAUUGGGACUGAGACACGGCCCAAACUCCUACGGGAGGCAGCAGUAGGGAAUAUUGCACAAUGGAGGAAACUCUGAUGCAGCGAUGCCGCGUGAGUGAAGAAGGCCCUUGGGUUGUAAAGCUCUUUCGUCGGGGAAGAAAAUGACUGUACCCGAAUAAGAAGGUCCGGCUAACUUCGUGCCAGCAGCCGCGGUAAUACGAAGGGACCUAGCGUAGUUCGGAAUUACUGGGCUUAAAGAGUUCGUAGGUGGUUAAAAAAGUUGGUUGUGAAAUCCCGAAGCUUAACUUCGGAACUGCAAUCAAAACUUUUUAGCUAGAGUAUGAUAGAGGAAAGCAGAAUUUCUAGUGUAGAGGUGAAAUUCGUAGAUAUUAGAAAGAAUACCAAUUGCGAAGGCAGCUUUCUGGAUCAUUACUGACACUGAGGAACGAAAGCAUGGGUAGCGAAGAGGAUUAGAUACCCUCGUAGUCCAUGCCGUAAACGAUGUGUGUUAGACGUUGGAAUUUAUUUUCAGUGUCGCAGCGAAAGCAGUAAACACACCGCCUGGGGAGUACGACC